rnacentral:rRNA from 1 species
ACACGUAGGGGCCUGACGUUGUUCGGAAUCAUUGGGCGUAAAGGGCGCGCAGGCGGCCGUCCAAGUCCGGUGUUAAAUGGUCGGGCUCAACCCGAUCAUGCGCUGGAAACUGGGCGGCUUGAGUCCCGUAGGGGAUGCCGGAAUUCCAGGUGUAGGGGUGAAAUCUGUAGAUAUCUGGAAGAACUCCGAUGGCGAAGGCAGGCAUCUGGCCGGAGACUGACGCUGAGGCGCGAAGGCGCGGGGAGCGAACAGGUUUAGAUACCCUGGUAGUCCGCGCAGUAAACGAUGCGCACCAGGUGUCGGGCGGCAGCGCCCGGUACCGGAGCUAACGCGAUGAGUGCGCCGCCUGGGGAGUAUGCCCGCAAGGGUGAAACUCAAAGGAAUUGACGGGG